CAUGUGGAUCUUAGUUCCCCAGCCAGAGGUCGAACCUGUGUCCCACUGCAGUGGAAGAAGCGCGGAGUCCUAACCACCGGACCGCCAGGGAAGUCCCAGUACGUGGCCUUUUUUGUGGCUUUUUUCACUUCAUCCAAUGUGCUCGAGGUCCAUCCACACUGUAGCAUGCAUCCGUACUUCGUUCCCUUUUCUGAUAAUCCAUCGCGUGGAUAUGCCACAUUGAGUUUAUCCGUUCAGCUGCUGAUGGAUGUUUCGGCUCUUCCUACCUUUUGGCUCUUGCGAACAGUGCUGCUGUGAACGUGCCUGUACAUGUAUUUAUUUAAGUAACUGAUCUUCAGUUCUCCGGGACAUAUACUUAGGAAUGGAAUCACUAGAAAAUUUUCUGAAACACAUCCCUAGACUUCCCCUCACAUCCUAUAGGUCAGAAUUGUGUCACAUCUCUGAGCCUACAGCAAUGUCUUGGCAAGGAGAGUGAAACCACCACGAUUGGCUAAAACUAAUCAAGAGUCACACCCUGAAGCUGGGUGAGAACCCAAUCACCUCUGAAGGGCAUGGUCCCGUGGAAGAGGGCCAUUUUCAGGAGAUGGUGACCUUGAGUGUGAAUGUCAUGACACAGCUUCUGAGUUCCCAGGCUUGGUUAAGAAGAUCUCUCCAUUUCCUUCAUGAUGAAUUUCCUUGUCUUUUGGGUCCUAUGACCUUUGGCAAAUUAUUCAAACUCUCUGGACCUCAGUUCCCGUAUCUGUGAAAUGGAAUAGCACUUACCCUAUGAAGUUACUGAAAGGAUGAAACGAGAUCACCUAUGGAAAACACUAGGCAUAGUGUCUGGCCGACGGCGUGGAGGAAAUCUUCCAUACAAUAAUUGAUAGCGAUCAAAUGAUGCUAAAUGAAGCAUCUCUCUAAUUAUGAGCCAAUCUUUGCCUCAUGUUGUUUUACUGAAAUAAAAAAUGAAUCAAUACCAUUUUCCUACUGAAGCAUUGUAUUCCAAAGGAGGGAUAUUUUGUAAGCACAAUGAAAAGAAACCCACUGUCUUUCAACCUGAUGACAUCAGUAGGCAGUUUUCUGUUCUUUUCAGUUGCAUUGGAAAUGUCAUGUACUGUUCCCAAUACCUAUUGAUGCCCGUAAAUCUCUCUCUAUACUGGCCACUGCCCAGUAUAUCAGUAUUUGUUAAGAGCCUAGAAGUGCUUGCCUUUCAUAAGACAGGGCCAUGCGACUGUGAUCAGGCCUGAUGUUUGUAAUGCCACAUGCAAAUCCCUUCUCCCUGAAGAGACAGAGGGUGACCAAAUCUUAAACUUGAGCCCCAAGAGAACCCAGCACCGGGCUGUAAAAAUAGCCAUGUUUCCUGUGUCAUAGCAGACGCAGAACUCAGUGAACAGAAUGUCAUGGCUAGGUACUCACCACAGCUAAGCCCGCCAAAGAGUAUGUCUUGGACUCGAGUUUAUUAAGUAAUAUAUAAAAUUGCAAAGAUUUUAAUUCUCUAGGAAGGCCUUCGGAAGGGCUCUAGCAGUCAACAUCUGGAGGUCCACGUCUGUUUGGGUUUGGGGCAGUGUGAACUGCAUUUCUUCCUCAAGGUUGGCUGAUUACCUGUCUGUUCUCCAGAGUUUUGUAACGUGGCAGAAAUUUUGGAAGCAAGAGAAUUGAGAUCAAGUCUGCUGAAAGCGCAAACGUGGUUUUUAAGCGAGUGAUGUGGGCGGUGGUCUGAAAUGUUAUCUGAGGAACGCCUGGCAGUCAGCAUGAGUUCAUAUAAACAGUAGUUUAAAAAUACCCUUUAGGGACUUCCCUGGUGGUACAGUGGUUAAGAAUCCGCCUGCCAAUGCAGGGGACACGGGUUCGAGCCCUGGUCCGGGAAGAUCCCACAUG